rnacentral:rRNA from 1 species
UACGUAGGGGGCUAGCGUUAUCCGGAAUUACUGGGCGUAAAGGGUGCGUAGGUGGUUUCUUAAGUCAGAGGUGAAAGGCUACGGCUCAACCGUAGUAAGCCUUUGAAACUGGGGAACUUGAGUGCAGGAGAGGAGAGUGGAAUUCCUAGUGUAGCGGUGAAAUGCGUAGAUAUUAGGAGGAACACCAGUUGCGAAGGCGGCUCUCUGGACUGUAACUGACACUGAGACACGAAAGCGUGGGGAGCAAACAGG